AUUGUACAGUGCGCAAUUGCGCGUGCGCGCGACCGCUACCUCGGAGGUACGUGCGUGCGCGUGCGUGGACUCGGUGAGCGGGCUAAACAGAGGGGAGGAUGGCGCACAUCGGGAUCCUGCAGCAGGAGAGAAGAACCCCUUCGGAGCACAGCAGACCACACUGAAAAGGGUGCAUCCCCGGUGCGGUGCUCUGCAUCCCGGGUGGCGCCGAAGAUGUGGAGUGUCGGAGGUGGCAGAAGCGCCGCAGCUUGGGGAACUGACUGAUGAUAUUGUUCGGGAUAUUUUGUUAAUAGUUGCAUGGCAUUAUACACGGAAGCAACAGAAUGAAAUGUUGUUAAUGGUGUAGGGGAGCACGGAAUAGACGCCAGCGCAGAUUGCCUAGGCAAGAGCUUGGCCGCUGCAUAUGACGUCAGCUGCGACUGAAAGCCGUAAGGUUCAACACGCGGUGAACUGGGAAAUGAAAUUGUAUAUAAGGU